GCCCUGGCAGUCAGAGGCGAUGAAGGACGUGCUAAUCUGCGAUAAGCGUCGGUAAGGUGAUAUGAACCGUUAUAACCGGCGAUUUCCGAAUGGGGAAACCCAGUGUGUUUCGACACACUAUCAUUAACUGAAUCCAUAGGUUAAUGAGGCGAACCGGGGGAACUGAAACAUCUAAGUACCCCGAGGAAAAGAAAUCAACCGAGAUUCCCCCAGUAGCGGCGAGCGAACGGGGAGCAGCCCAGAGCCUGAAUCAGUAUGUGUGUUAGUGGAAGCGUCUGGAAAGGCGCGCGAUACAGGGUGACAGCCCCGUACACAAAAAUGCACAUGCUGUGAGCUCGAUGAGUAGGGCGGGACACGUGGUAUCCUGUCUGAAUAUGGGGGGACCAUCCUCCAAGGCUAAAUACUCCUGACUGACCGAUAGUGAACCAGUACCGUGAGGGAAAGGCGAAAAGAACCCCGGCGAGGGGAGUGAAAAAGAACCUGAAACCGUGUACGUACAAGCAGUGGGAGCACGCUUAGGCGUGUGACUGCGUACCUUUUGUAUAAUGGGUCAGCGACUUAUAUUCUGUAGCAAGGUUAACCGAAUAGGGGAGCCGAAGGGAAACCGAGUCUUAACUGGGCGUUAAGUUGCAGGGUAUAGACCCGAAACCCGGUGAUCUAGCCAUGGGCAGGUUGAAGGUUGGGUAACACUAACUGGAGGACCGAACCGACUAAUGUUGAAAAAUUAGCGGAUGACUUGUGGCUGGGGGUGAAAGGCCAAUCAAACCGGGAGAUAGCUGGUUCUCCCCGAAAGCUAUUUAGGUAGCGCCUCGUGAAUUCAUCUCCGGGGGUAGAGCACUGUUUCGGCAAGGGGGUCAUCCCGACUUACCAACCCGAUGCAAACUGCGAAUACCGGAGAAUGUUAUCACGGGAGACACACGGCGGGUGCUAACGUCCGUCGUGAAGAGGGAAACAACCCAGACCGCCAGCUAAGGUCCCAAAGUCAUGGUUAAGUGGGAAACGAUGUGGGAAGGCCCAGACAGCCAGGAUGUUGGCUUAGAAGCAGCCAUCAUUUAAAGAAAGCGUAAUAGCUCACUGGUCGAGUCGGCCUGCGCGGAAGAUGUAACGGGGCUAAACCAUGCACCGAAGCUGCGGCAGCGACGCUGAUGCGUUGUUGGGUA
rnacentral:rRNA from 1 species